AUGAGACUGGCCACCUUACACAUCCCAAGAAAAAGUCAAGAAGGCUGCCUUAGCAAAUGAAUCCCCUGACCCCCAGACAUGGACCUUGUAUCCAGUGGUCAUACUUAAAGUUAAAGAAACGUAUGAAAAGGCCCACAAUUUUCAUAUGAAGGCAAAAAAAGGAGAGUCAUUGGAUACCACCGAUGAUGAUGUGAAAAGAAAAAGAAAGCCAAAUAUGAAAUUUUCCCUGCCCGACUACUCCAGUGAAGACGAUGACAAUCGGAAUCUCCCCCCGCCUCCAAAAAUCCCAAGAGCACCAGCAAAAAAAAAAAAAAAUCCAAAUUCAGAGUUGACCACCGUUACUGCUCUGCCAGUAGCACCACCGCUCUUCCGCUCCAGCCAUGCCGCAUACAGUGAGCCUGGCAGAAGACAUUGUGGAGAAUUGACAGGUCCGACCUUUAUUUUGCCACCUCCACCACAGCACCCAGC
ensembl:lncRNA